UAGGGAAUCUUCCACAAUGGACGCAAGUCUGAUGGAGCAACGCCGCGUGAGUGAAGAAGGGUUUCGGCUCGUAAAGCUCUGUUGGUAGUGAAGAAAGAUAGAGGUAGUAACUGGCCUUUAUUUGACGGUAAUUACUUAGAAAGUCACGGCUAACUACGUGCCAGCAGCCGCGGUAAUACGUAGGUGGCAAGCGUUGUCCGGAUUUAUUGGGCGUAAAGCGAGUGCAGGCGGUUCAAUAAGUCUGAUGUGAAAGCCUUCGGCUCAACCGGAGAAUUGCAUCAGAAACUGUUGAACUUGAGUGCAGAAGAGGAGAGUGGAACUCCAUGUGUAGCGGUGGAAUGCGUAGAUAUAUGGAAGAACACCAGUGGCGAAGGCGGCUCUCUGGUCUGCAACUGACGCUGAGGCUCGAAAGCAUGGGUAGCAAACAGGAUUAGAUACCCUGGUAGUCCACGCCGUAAACGAUGAAUGCUAGGUGUUGGAGGGUUUCCGCCCUUCAGUGCCGCAGCUAACGCAAUAAGCAUUCCGCCUGGGGAGUACGACCGCAAGGUUG
rnacentral:rRNA from 1 species